rnacentral:lncRNA from 1 species
CGAAAGUUGAUUAAAAAAAUAAUUAAAGAAAAGAAAAAAAAACCCAAGUGGUAGUGAAAACUUGCUAUGGUUUUAUUUUACAAUGGAAAAAGCAAUUCUGUUAAAAAAAGAAGAGAAGAGAAGAGGUGGAUGGAUGGAUGGAUGGAUGGGGGAAAUAUGGAAAACUGCGAAAGCAAUAACCAAGAGCAAAGAAUUCAGCGCUGCCCCUCUACAUAUAAACUUGAUGAGAGGGCGAUGACACCACACAUAUCCACCGCAAUUGCCAGUUCCCCACUGCGGAAGCCAAACCCAAGCAGACAGGAAAAUAACGUAACAAAAGAUGAGGCAGGAUAAACCCAUGACUCGUUGGUCUCAUAACUGCGUCAUAGGGGCAAGAAAGACAACGUGGUAUGCAGUACAAGACAAAAGCUUACUUGCUGAAAAUCUGGGGAAAUAUAUACAACAGCAGUCAUUCGCCAGUUCCUUAAUAAACGCUCGCUAAAAUGACGCGACAAAAAAUGAGGAGACAGGGAUGAGCAGUGCCACUCAACGGCGAGGGAAAAUGGGAAGAGUGGAGAGAAAGGCGGGGUCCUGCUACAAUUAGAAAGCAUUUGAAGAAAAAAAAGUGGAUAAAAAAAAAACAAACAAAUAAACAAACAUUAAGAGAGACGAAUAGUGGGGAGAGUGGUACAAUUAGAUUGUUUCUCCCCAAGAUGGAUAGAUAAUUUUACUGGUAUCUGCCCCACCUUUUCCCAUUGUCUCAUUGAGAUCCCCUCCAUUCCAGCCCCAGCAUUCUUCCUCUAGUCUGCAGUAUGAUUUCCCUGCUCCUCUUCCUCCAAAAGUUUUAGUGCCGACUUUAGAUGAUGAAUGGCUGUCGUUGUGUCUUCGUAGUCUAAUGCACUGUAUGCAUAGCGUGCAUGACUUCGAGCAGAUUGGAUAGCCUCCAAGGCGGAAAACUUGUUCAAGGGGGAGGCUUUAGUCGGUUGAGAUGGCCUUGAUAGAGGGGCAUUUGUUCUUGUUGUGGCUAAAGUUGACUUGCUGGAAAAUGCUACUGACGGAUCGAUGGAGGUGGAGGUGGUGGUGAUUGACGUAGGGGAGGGAGGCCGAUGCCCAUCUGAUGUUUGCUUUGACUCAGGAGAUAAACUUUGGAUAUGCGAGGAAGAGCGAGUGGAACGAGUAGGAUCUAUUGUUGGCAAAUUUUCGGUUAUUGAUGUAGUUGAGGGGAACGUGGUAGGCUCAUAUGAAUGGGAAGGUGAAUUUAGUUGUGGAGCAGCCGGUGUUGAAGACAACGAUUUUACGUCUGCUUCUACAUUAGGCUCGGAAGAUACGGCUGCAGACUUUGUAGGAGAGAUGGAGAGCGAUGCUGCUGGAGAUGUAGUGGGGAGAGCAAAAGAUGUUUCAUGAGAAGCAGAGGCAUUCGUUUCAACGGCGGCUUCUUGCGUAGGUAGGGUUGUGGAAUUUGUGGAAGAUUGCUGUAACUCCUCGGUCGCGUGGUUUGAGGGUGUUUUGGCCUUUCGUUGGGGAUUUGCGACUUGGAGCGCACGUAACUUGCAAAAUUUGAUUGACUUGGUAAUCUACGUAGCAAUAGGGGUUAGUAGGGAACAAAAAAUCGUUAUAAGCAUCAUAAAGCAUCGUUGUAUAAUACAAACGAGAGAGAAAAAUACCGAUAGGAAGGAAAUCCUCAGAAUGGCAAAAGAAGAAACGAGUCGAAAAAAAAAACACAUGGUAAUGUGAAUUGGAAAAGACGAUUUUGUUUUUGACAAAACAAAAAUAAAAAAUAAAAAAAUUUCCAAAGAACCUUCAUUUUUUCAUUUUUGUUGAUCGUGGUUUUCUUUUUUUUUUCUCCUAAGUUCUGCUCGUUACUCUUUUUCAUUCCGUCUCACUUGCUCUCGCUGUUUUUGACUCACGUACCUGUUCCGUAGGUGGUCCCCAGAUUCUCGACAACUCUAGAAAAUCUCGGGCUGCCAAAUACGCUUGCACAUCUGGUUUCCCGUUUUUGCUAUUUCUUUCGGCCUGGACAAGAACUUCUAGGGAAAACGAUUCAACAUACGCCUUUGCACUAGUCUCGUCACUCACAUUCUCAUUCUCGCCCAAAUUUUUACGUAACUACACACGCCAUAGAGCGGUUAGUACCACAGAAACAUUUACAUAGUUGGUCUCGUAAUCCAAAAAAAAAAAAAAAGAGAAAAAACCCUCGCCAACAUUUAAAAAAAGGAAAAGGAUGUUUUCUAAACUUACAUCUUCUAAAUGCUCAAUGAGUGACAGCAGGAAAUCCUUGCAUUCGUUGGAAACACCGUGUGAGCUGGAAAGCGCCAUUUGAGCUGCCCAGUAUAGACCUAGUAAUAGUACAAGUUAGUGAAUCAAGCAAAUGAAUAUCUCGAAUGAUGAAACAAAUUCCUUUGUGCUUAUAAUAGGGUGUAUUAUGGAAAGUAGUAUUCCCUCUA